rnacentral:rRNA from 1 species
UACGGGGGGGGCAAGCGUUGUUCGGAAUUACUGGGCGUAAAGGGCUCGUAGGCGGCCAACUAAGUCAGACGUGAAAUCCCUCGGCUUAACUGGGGAACUGCGUGUGAUACUGGAUGGCUUGGAUUUGGGAGAGGGAUGCGGAAUUCCAGGUGUAGCGGUGAAAUGCGUAGAUAUCUGGAGGAACACCGGUGGCGAAGGCGGCAUCCUGGACCAAUAUUGACGCUGAGGAGCGAAAGCCAGGGGAGCAAACGGG